AACCCUGUGAGGAGGAUCUCCCAAAUAUUGAUAGGAAGUGCCGUAUGACACUCUAAACAGCAGCUCCGUUUCAAAUUAUGGUCUCAUCUGUUGGGUUCAUUCUUUGUAUGUGGAGCUGUGUGUGAGAUUUGAAACGGGUAGCUGAGGGUU
rfam:Cicer arietinum chromosome Ca5, whole genome shotgun sequence.